GACGAACGCUGGCGGCGUGCUUAACACAUGCAAGUCGAACGGAAAGGCCCUGCUUUUGUGGGGUGCUCGAGUGGCGAACGGGUGAGUAACACGUGAGUAACCUGCCCUUGACUUUGGGAUAACUUCAGGAAACUGGGGCUAAUACCGGAUAGGAGCUCCUGCUGCAUGGUGGGGGUUGGAAAGUUUCGGCGGUUGGGGAUGGACUCGCGGCUUAUCAGCUUGUUGGUGGGGUAGUGGCUUACCAAGGCUUUGACGGGUAGCCGGCCUGAGAGGGUGACCGGCCACGUUGGAACUGAGAUACGGCCCAGACUCCUACGGGAGGCAGCAGUGGGGAAUAUUGCACAAUGGGCGGAAGCAUGAUGCAGCAACGCCGCGUGCGGGAUGACGGCCUUCGGGUUGUAAACCGCUUUCGCCUGUGACGAAGCGUGAGUGACGGUAAUGGGUAAAGAAGCACCGGCUAACUACGUG
rnacentral:rRNA from 1 species